rnacentral:rRNA from 1 species
GACGAACGCUGGCGGCGUGCUUAACACAUGCAAGUCGAACGGAAAGGCCCUGCUUUUGUGGGGUGCUCGAGUGGCGAACGGGUGAGUAACACGUGAGUAACCUGCCCUUGACUUUGGGAUAACUUCAGGAAACUGGGGCUAAUACCGGAUAGGAGCUCCUGCUGCAUGGGGGGGGUUGGAAAGUUUCGGCGGUUGGGGAUGGACUCGCGGGUUAUCAGCUUGUUGGUGGGGUAGUGGCUUACCAAGGCAUUGACGGGUAGCCGGCCUGAGAGGGUGGCCAGCCACAUUGGUACUAAGGUACGGCCCAGACGCCUACGGGGGGCAGCAGUGGGGAAUAUUGCACAAUGGGCGGAAGCCUGAUGCAGCAGCGCCGCGUGCGUGAUGACGGCCUUCGGGUUGUGAACCGCUUUCGCCUGUGACGAAGCGUGAGUGACGGUAAUGGGUAAAGAAGCACCGGCUAACUACGUG